rnacentral:misc_RNA from 1 species
UCUCCGUAGGUGAACCUGCGGAGGGAUCAUUACAGAGUUCAUGCCCUACCGGGUAGAUCUCCCACCCUAUGUUAUUAUUACUUUGUUGCUUUGGCGGGCCGUUAGGCUCCGGCCCGACUACCGGCCCCGGCUGGUAAGCGCCCGCCAGAGGACCCAAAACCCUGAAUUUUAGUGUCGUCUGAGUACUAUAUAAUAGUUAAAACUUUCAACAACGGAUCUCUUGGUUCUG